rnacentral:rRNA from 1 species
AUUGAACGCUGGCGGCAGGCCUAACACAUGCAAGUCGAGCGGAUGAAGGGAGCUUGCUCCUGGAUUCAGCGGCGGACGGGUGAGUAAUGCCUAGGAAUCUGCCUGGUAGUGGGGGAUAACGUCCGGAAACGGGCGCUAAUCCCGCAUACGUCCUGAGGGUGAAAGUGGGGGAUCCUCGGACCUAGCCCUAUCAGAUGAGCCUAGGUUGGAUUAGCUAGUUGGUGGGGUAAAGGCCUACCAAGGCGACGAUCCGUAACUGGUCUGAGAGGAUGAUCAGUCACACUGGAACUGAGACACGGUCCAGACUCCUACGGGAGGCAGCAGUGGGGAAUAUUGGACAAUGGGCGAAAGCCUGAUCCAGCCAUGCCGCGUGUGUGAAGAAGGUCUUCGGAUUGUAAAGCACUUUAAGUUGGGAGGAAGGGCAGUAAGUUAAUACCUUGCUGUUUUGACGUUACCAACAGAAUAAGCACCGGCUAACUUCGUG